CCCCCCCCCAGUGUGGCUGGCGGGUCCCCGGGCUAGUCGCGGGGUGCAGAGAACCUGUGUUGGAAGGGGGGGGGCAGAGGGGUGCAUCUCUUUGGGUGGGAGUCUGUGUAGUCCCCAUUUUCCUACCAGCCCCAGUCUCUGGGGCCGAGACCCUGGGUGAUCAUCUCUGUGCAGCCGAUUAAACCUUGCCCGCUGCAGCUGCAGGUGCGGGUUUGCAGCUGGCCCGCGGGCAGUGGAUUAGAUCUGAUGGUACCGAGGGUGGAGGGUCUCAGUGACCCCCCCCCCCUUCCUGCCCUAACCUCAAGCCUCCCCUGGCAGGCAGCAGCCCCCGGCGUGGCCCAGUGCGGAGCCUGGUGUCUCUGCCAGGCGCUUUAUAGCCGAUUGAGCCCGGGGGCUGGGGAAUCCCUGGAGCGGGAGGGGAGCGAGCCGUGAGUCAGGGGUGGGCAGGAGUCCAGUGCUGGAGCCAGGGCAGCGCUGGGACUUCCUGCGCCGGGGCUGGGAAAAUCCGUGCCGGGGGGGAAAGCCCUGCGUGAAUGCACCUGACUUUCCAGAGGGCUGUUUACUCUCGUCCUCGCUGCCGAAAUGGGGAGAGGGAGACGCUGUUUUACAGCCAGGCUCACUGCAUCUGCCCACUGCAAAGCCUCAAGAUCCUGUGAGGCCCAUUGGGUAGCUUUGGCCACAUAUCUCCCAGGGAUGUACAGAAGAGGAAGAAGGUUCGGGGAAUGGAUUGUGAUUGCGGCUGGGCUGACGAGGUGGUGACCUCAGGACUAUGAAACAAAGCUGACCGGUGGCUUCCAAACAAACGGCAAAUGGGAGAACCUCAGGGCACCACCUCCAUCUAUCAUAAUGCAUAAAACUAAUGAAUAAAAUGACAGUAACAGAAUACAUGCUCUUAUUACAGCCAAGAUAUUCCAGUGGGAUAUUCUAAGACCAGUUAGCCCCAGGACAUGAUACACCAUCUGUAUAGAAUCUUAGUUAUUGAGGUGAGACCAGAAAUCCAAAUGGCUCCUGAGUGCUUUAUCAUUGGUAUCGGGGCAAGCUGAAAGGGUUUGUCAGAACUGGAAUAAUCCCACCCAAAGGUAGUUUGUCAACCUCCUGGUAGAGAAAGUAUGUUUGCACUUAGCAGUCGAGCUGACCAGCAUUUUUUUGUCAAAACAGUUUUUUGUUGGAAAAUCCUGUUUCCGUUAAACUGAAUAUUUUGGCAAAAUUGUAUCCAGUUUGACAAAAGUUUCCAUGGAAACAAAAUGUCCCCAAAUUAAAAAUGAAGGGCAGCUACUACUUAGUACAGAUGGAAACAUUUUAUCUUACUCUCUCUAGAUCAAAGCGUGUCCUGUUUGUGUUAUUAUAUGAAACAGUUUGACAUAGUCCAGAAGAAUCUGCCGUUGAUUUCCUCUGUGAUUUUGGGCAAGUCAUUUUCCCUCUCUGUGCUAUGGUUUCUCCAUCUGUAACAUGGGAAUGCUAAUGCUGGCCAACCUCACAGGAGUGUUGUGAAGCUUACUUAAUUGUUUGGAAGGUCUCUAAGAGCCUCGUAUGAGAGGGUGUUUUAGAAAUACCAAGUUUUAUUAUGAUAAUUGAAGUUUGUCUUGGAUGGCCAUGGACUCCUCAAAUGAAGACCCAGAGACUCAGACAAGAGCAACUACGUCUAAUUAUGAGCAGCACCCCGUGUGUAAUGGCACAAAUUGCUUCAUAACUCUGGAUAUUUCAAGAUUGCCUAAUUGUGUUCUGGAAUCUAAGCCUUAAAUUUAAGCGUCUUGACCUUAUGAUUGCAAAGAUAAACUUUGAAAUGUGACCUGAAGGUAUGUCUACACAUAAACUGCUACAGCGGCACUAUUGCACCCGGUGCCACUGGAGCGCUUCCGUGAAGACACCACCUAUGCUGGUGGAGGGAUUCUCCCAUUGGCAUAGGUAAUCCAUCUCUCCAAAAGGCAGUAGCUUAGGUUGACGGAGCUGACUGGACUCUGGGUAUGGAUCCUUCCACCGGAGGCGAGAAGCACCAGCGGCUGCCCCCCUGCUCCCGGCUGGGAGGGGAAAGGCGAGGAGCCCUGCGGGGGAAGCUGGACUUCCGGUUGGGAGCUGCAUAGAGCUUAAAGCCCUGGCUCUCAGUCCCCCACACUGCUCCUCUUGAGUGGGUGGAAGCGCUCCUGGUGAGGGUGCGCACGACCAACAGAAGGAGGGUAGUGUGGACACCAGCCACCCCAAUAAUUAAUGGCGUGGCUGUAAGUCGACCUAACAUAGGUCGAAUUAUCAUUGUAGUAUAGACAUAGCCUAAGCUUUUGAGCUUACACAGAGCUCUUCUUCAGGCCUGGGAAAGGUAUUCAGAGUGUCGAAGCUAAAUACAAGGUGGAACAGCUUAUUUAACAUAAGUAGUUAAUACAUAUUGUGAAGGACCAAUCAAGGUGAAGAGACCAGUUAACACCUUGUCAGUCAUAGGACAAAAAUGGGGGGUUAGUGCAGUGGUGGGCAACCUGCGGCCCGUGGGCCACAUGCGGCCUGUCAGGGUAAUCCGCUGGUGGGCCGUGAGACAGUUUGUUUACAUUGA